rnacentral:lncRNA from 1 species
GUGAACCCCUGGCACAGCAGCAGCCAGGCGGUGGCUGUAAUGGCCAGGAGAGAGUCUGGACACUCUAAUUUGUGUUCUAUGCUUGCCUGUGGUUGACCUCACUUGAUUUCUAACUGCAGCCUCUAGGUUUUGCAUCCACAUUUUAUCUUCUACCUGCAUAGGGUUCUGUUUCCAUCUGAUUCAGAAUAAGACUCUCUGUCACCUGAGAUCGGAUCUCAGUCCACUGGAUUUGAGGGUGAGACCCUGGUACACCUUUUCCUUCAGCCAAUAAGGUGAUGCCCCCCCCCCCCCGAAGGUCUCUCUAGCAUUGUGGGCCCUGGGCACAGAGGGGCCCAGGGGUGAGUAGGGGCCGCACGUCCUAGGAUAACGAGUGGACAGGGUGGGGUUGGUGAAGGGAAGUCGUAUCCCGCCGUGAGUGGUGCUGGCGGUGCUAGGAGGUGCUGGGCAGGUGCCGUGCUGGCCUGGGGGAAUGUCACUCAGGCCACAAGGUUCUUAGGGUUCCAGAUCCUGGAUGAACGGACUCCCUGUCCCUGUGGAGCUCAUGGCUGUGACUCGGUGGGCAUGGAGCCUUCUCUUCCUUAUGCCUUGGCCUCCAGAUACUUACCCCACGUCUUGCCUUUCAUUCUUUCUCUAGUCCUUUUGGCAAAUGGGAAAGUGGGGAAUUCCUGCUUUUCUCACAAACCUCCAGCUCCUGGCCUCUGGGUGGAUGUGUGCUGAGGUAGCCCUGUUUAUGCCCCUUACUGCUCCUCAGUAUCUGGGCUUCAAUACUGCCCCUCACCAAAAGGGUGAUGGGACCCCCCAUUGAAAUUACCAUCAAAAUGGGGUGGGAAUCUCAGCCAAUGGAUCCCCAGAGACUGGCUCCAUCCACCCCAGACCGAGGGCUCCUUCCUCAGGUCCAGGUACCCAGAACGCAGGGGUCCCUGCGUCGUCUACCUGACGAUGGGACCCAUAGUACCUUCGGGAGGCUGGGAGCUGGCCCAGGUGCUCCUUUACCUCCACAGAGGCCAUGAGCCCCACAGCCUCCAUUGUCUCCCAAGGACAUGGGUGUACCCACAGCCAUUGCUCCUGCCUUGGAGAAGAGCCAUCUGUGAGCCAGCCAGCCAGACGCCUGCAGGCCAGCAUCUCACGGAGAGCAGGACACCAAGAUAAAUGGUGCACCUGCUAAGUGAACCUGAUGAACGUCGGUGGCCAAAACCAUCAGGAGGAGGAAGAGCCAGACCUAGGACCACACACCAGAGAGGGCAACAUGAGAAAGAGCUCCCGACCCCAUCAGCGAGGAGCCGGCCCGGCCAGGGGGACCUCACGCCGGUUCUGAUGUGCACAGUCAACCUCUAGGAGCUCUUGACACUGCUGAGGGGCCACCCAGGGAGGGAGAGCUGGUGGGGGGACCCACAGCCCCCAUCCCCACCUUCUUCAAUGCUGUGGCUGCUCCUGCUCCUGCAGGGGCCCAGGCAGCCUCACACUCCUCAUUUUAUAGAGGAAGAAUGGAGGCUCCAACAACACAAGCCUGCUGUAGUUCCUGCAGGCUUCGUGGGCUCCGCACGUGUGUCUAGGGGCUGAUCCUCCCAGAGUCACAAUAACUCCAUCCCUGUCACCUACAAGACUGGCACGUGGUGUUUAUUUCAUUCUCCUUGUUGAACUGAUAUGGUGGCUGCAGCCACUCACCUCCUCAAUAUCUGCAAUGCUCCAGGUUUAAAUUUCUAAGGUUUCAUCUUGCUCCUGACUCUGAGUCCUAAAAGUCCUCCAAAUGCAUGAAUAUUUUAUUUUGUCCAAAAGUCUCAGGGUUCUGUAGGCAGAUCUGACACUGCAGUGCCUCUGGAGAGAAAGAGUUGGUGUCCUCGAGUCUCUCCUGAAGAGAGCCCGGCCUGAUUCUUACUCUGUAGGACCAGACUCCUCAAACUCUGAAAUGCCUGAACAAAUCAAGGAGAGGCUGCAGAAGCACUCUUUUCAGAUAUGGGGGUUUCACUCUCAUCCUGCAGAAACUGGCCAGGGGCCCAGCAACAUGGGACCAUCACACCCGAAGGAGCAGAGGGCACCAGCAUCGCUCAUCAGGAAUCAGGGCUGUUAGGAAGAAAUUGCAGCAAAUCACCUGCAGACACUGGUCCUGACGCUUUCUCUGGAGGGAGGGUGACUGCCUUGGAAGGCUCGCAUCAAAUGGGGCAGAACUCUUGCUUUCUCUCUUGUCCUGAAGGUGCUGUCUUUUAUGUACCGGUGAAGUAUGCCGCCAGGCAUUGUGAGUACUCUCUGAGCGUCAAUGAGCUGCUAUUAGGAUACUUUCUUCAAGGUCGUUCUGGGUACAAGAUUGUCAUGACCUGCAGUACCAACUGCUUUGAAACCGUCACGGCCUCCCAACAGCAAGUUUCCUGGAACAGGAGCCCUCAUUUCUGAUGGCCUUGCAUCCACAUACGUUAGGGUCUGAUUGAAGAGGUUCUUGGAUUAAUUCUGCCACUGAGAGAGGAAUUGGGAGCUCAGCAUUUGCUGCUGGAAAGAAUUAAAGAAUUCACAACAGGAAGAGUCUGGUACGAGGAAAGACAUGGAGAAAAAUCAUGACCAAAAUGAGAUCACCCGCAAAUGGCAAGGCUUGGAAUCCUCGUGAAGAACGGGGAUGCUUCGCUCCAACUCCAGUAGGCGGAGCCUCUGUGUGCGGUGACAGGACUUUCGGACCCUGAAGCCAAGCCCAAGGGCAAUGAGAUUUCCUGUUUCUUCCCUGCACACCACAAGCCGCUUUCUCCCGCUCCCCAGCCCUGCCGCAGUGGCACCGUGGAGCUCCCCAUGCUGAAACUCAUCUUAGAUCUCAGACUCAGCUUCUACCAAAGCAGCACCUGCUGAGCAUGGAGCUUGAGGAGAGAGAGGUAUUCAGGAGGUGGGGGGCCCUGGGAAGAGUGCACAGGGCCAGGGGUCCAGGCUUCUCCUCCUCCCUCUCUGUCACCUUAGAGGUGACCAGUUCCUCAGGUUUCCACAUCUAAAGGCUUCCAGGGACCGCGCUGACCAGCUGUCCAGCUCAUUAUGUGAGGUUCGCACGCCUUGCUCCCUUUCCGCCUCCCAUGCUGCCUCUCUUCCGCCACCCUGCCCCGCUCAGCCUCCUCUCCUUGUAGUUCCACUAAGUGCAGAGCUUGGAGUGAGCCUCUGGCCCCAGGCUCAGCCAGCACUGCAUUCCUCAGCAUGAGGCUCUGGGGGUCAGGCUGUGACACGCGUUUAACCUGCCCGGCUCAGUGCCGCAGUGAGUGACCCAACAAGGCGUGGUGGGAAAGUGGCCUGGGAAAUUGAACCGUAAUGUAUAUGCACCCUUCUUGCUGUCAACAAGAGCAAUUU